AACGAACGCUGGCGGCAGGCUUAACACAUGCAAGUCGAACGCACCGCAAGGUGAGUGGCAGACGGGUGAGUAACACGUGGGGAUCUGCCCAAUGGUACGGAAUAGCUCCGGGAAACUGGAAUUAAUACCGUAUGAGCCCGCAAGGGGAAAGAGUUAUCGCCAUUGGAUGAACCCGCGUCGGAUUAGCUAGUUGGUGUGGUAAAGGCGCACCAAGGCGACGAUCCGUAGGUGGUCCGAGAGGAUGAUCAGCCACACUGGGACUGGGACCCGGCCCAGACUCCUACGGGAGGCAGCAGUGGGGAAUAUUGGACAAUGGGCGCAAGCCUGAUCCAGCCAUGCCGCGUGAGUGAUGAAGGCCUUAGGGUUGUAAAGCUCUUUCGCCGACGAAGAUAAUGACGGUAGUCGGAGAGGAAGCCCCGGCUAACUUCGUGCCAGCCGCCGCCGUAAAAC
rnacentral:rRNA from 1 species